GAUGUUUCUGGUGACCACCUCUUUAUUUCUUCUGUGAUCACAGACCAUCCACUUAAUAAUAUGCUCUAACAUUCUUCCAACAGUGAGCAAUAGAUCACUUGUCUAUAGUUUUUAUAAUUCACAUUUUCCCCUUUGUAAAACUGAGGACAGUAUUUUCCUAUUAAUCCAUUUCUUCAUAUGAUAGUGUCAAGACGGCCCAAAAGUGUAUUCCUGCACAUUAAAUUCAGGGUCCAAGGAAUUGUCUGCAUUUUUAAAACAGAUUACUGAGCCAGACCGAGAAGCGGAGCCUUAGCCUCAAAGAAUUCUCCUGAACACCUUAAGGAUUUACCAUCAAGGCCCGGCUAGCUGUUAGAAGAUGGAGGAUAAAGGCUCUAUUCACCCUGCCAUCUAGGUGGCUUUAGGGUCUCCUGUGCCCCUGAGUCAGAAAAGGAAAAAUCACUUCUGAAUUAUGAUCUAUGGAACAUAGGUAAGAAAAUAUGCCUCCUUCUGACUGUAUUAAUGCAUAACAAAGCAAAAUGGAAAUACACUUUUAAAUUGUAUACAUUAAGUUUCCUGGAUUUAAUGUGGAUCAUUAAAAGACUUCCAAGUAGAUAUCCUCAGUAUUUUGUGAUUGAAGGGUAGGAACUACAGAAAAUUUCCAAAGGGCUUACUAAGUGCCAAGCAACUGUAACGUGAGUAGGCCGUUGUGUUACAUCCUAAGUGCACCGAGUAUACACUGGGCUCGAAAAAUAAAUUUAAAAAGUGAAUGUAAAAUAUCUUGUUGACAACUU
rnacentral:lncRNA from 1 species